CAGUAGCCGCGGGAAUACGAAGGGGGCUAGCGUUGUUCGGAAUCACUGGGCGUAAAGGGUGCGUAGGCGGGCAUUUAAGUCGGGGGUGAAAUCCCGAGGCUCAACCUCGGAACUGCCCUUGAUACUGGGUGUCUUGAGUCCGGAAGAGGUGAGUGGAACUGCGAGUGUAGAGGUGAAAUUCGUAGAUAUUCGCAAGAACACCGGUGGCGAAGGCGGCUCACUGGUCCGGAACUGACGCUGAGGCACGACAGCGUGGUGAGCAAACAGGAUUAGAUACCCGUGUAGUCCCUGUCUCUUAUAC
rnacentral:rRNA from 1 species